AGGAUUCUGGACAAAUUUGAAUGGGAACAAAACACACUCCAUGCCAAUGGUGACAACAGACGGUAUCAGCCGAAUCACCAGCCCGAGCAACGAGGCGACGGCAUGUGUCGUCUGUGACCAUAAUGUUUCUUUGAAGCAUUCCAGCCCACCUCUGAGGGAAAACAGCAGCAGGAAAAGGCAGCUCUGCAGUCGAUAAGGACAGUGUGGGACGAAACAGCUGUCCCUUCCAUUUAAAUGCUAAAGCAAACAGCAACUUUGGAUUAUCUUGAAGGUAGAGGCAAAGGACUUCUGGAAAAUAUCCUAAU